ACAGGUUUAGAAGUGUCCAAAGGGAAGCUGCUAAAUGGCAGUAUCUCUUUAUUUCUUGUUUAUGUAUCAAUGCUGCUUGAAACCUUGAUGAAUAUCUUCCUGCUAUUAUGUUGUCUCCUUCCCUUUGGGAUCUCAGCGUUGAAGUUUAACAAUUAUUAUGCGAGCGGAAUGAUGCUUCAGAGAAAUGUUAAGAACAAGGUUUGGGGAUAUGGAACCCUGGCAAAUGAACAGUUUGUUGUUGAUUGCGUUAUCAAGAACGGAG